AGAACGAACGCUGGCGGCAGGCUUAACACAUGCAAGUCGAGCGCCCAGCAAUGGGAGCGGCGGACGGGUGAGUAACACGUGGGAACAUGCCUUUCGGUACGGAACAACUUCGGGAAACUGAAGCUAAUGCCGUAUGCGCCCUUACGGGGAAAGAUUUAUCGCCGAAAGAUUGGCCCGCGUCUGAUUAGCUAGUUGGUGAGGUAACGGCUCACCAAGGCUUCGAUCAGUAGCUGGUUUGAGAGAACGACCAGCCACACUGGGACUGAGACACGGCCCAGACUCCUACGGGAGGCAGCAGUGGGGAAUCUUGGACAAUGGAGGAAACUCUGAUCCAGCCAUGCCGCGUGAGUGAUGAAGGCCUUCGGGUUGUAAAACUCUUUUACCAGGGAAGAUAAUGACUGUACCUGGAGAAUAAGCCCCGGCUAACUUCGCGCCAGCAGCCGC
rnacentral:rRNA from 1 species